rfam:Brassica napus, WGS project CCCW01000000 data, contig: 12169
UGUUCGAUGCCACGUCGACGAUAGCUUAAGGGCUAUGAUCGUUGAUGCUACAUUGGACAAAAACAGAUGUACGUGUUUCGCUUUUCUGAUAGGAACCUGUAGAUCUUGAUUCUUUUGGUCUACGGAGCCAUUUCGGCGAUUACAUUC